AAUCCCAUUUUUGCCUGAUCAAUCCCUGUUCCGCCACAGGUCACCGAUUAUAGCUCGCUGAAAUGUCACCAAGAGAAUGAGAGACGUCUCUAUCAAGUUUACUGACAAAGGUAUCCCCGUUGUACUUACAUGCUCAGAGCUCUCCUGCAAGCACAGUUCUACACUCGCAUUCCAGUUCUCCGUAAUGACCUGGCCUUGUUCGUCUCCAUACCCGAUGUGGGGAUGCAGACGCCCAAAGUCUUGAUUGAAAAGAACCUCCAGUAACCGCGUGGAACCAACUCCCAGUCCGUUUCGGUGAUUCCACAGUAACUUCAUGUGGGCUCGAACAAGCGACGUUAUGAAGAGGAUAGUGAAGGCUCCCCCAGGCUAAAUGCUCGCCAUGGAUGUUCUCUGGAGCAUUGGCCCACACGAGAUAACACCACUAUUCACGCUUAGAUUUCUCCCGUUUGCGUCACUGGGACAUCACACCGUCAGGUCACAGUUUCACAACCGGACCCAAUCCACAUUUGAUG
rnacentral:sRNA from 1 species